GACGAACGCUGGCGGCGUGCUUAACACAUGCAAGUCGAACGGUGAAGCGCCUUCCUUUUUGGUGGGUGUGGAUGAGUGGCGAACGGGUGAGUAACACGUGAGUAACCUGCCCCCUUCUUCUGGAUAACCGCAUGAAAGUGUGGCUAAUACGGGAUAUUCUGGGUCUGUCGCAUGAUGGGUCUGGGAAAGAUAUUGUUUCGGUGGGGGAUGGGCUCGCGGCCUAUCAGCUUGUUGGGGGGGUGAUGGCCUACCAAGGCGGUGACGGGUAGCCGGCCUGAGAGGGUGGAGGGGCCAGCUGGGAAUGAGGCACGGCCCAGACGGCUAAGGGAGGCAGCAGGGGGGAAUAUGGCACAAUGGGCGCAAGCCUGAUGCAGCGACGCCGCGUGAGGGAUGGAGGCCUUCGGGUUGUGAACCUCUUUCGCCAGUGAAGCAGGCCUGCCUCGUUUGUGGGUGGGUUGACGGUAGCUGGAUAAGAAGCGCCGGCUAACUACGUG
rnacentral:rRNA from 1 species